UAACUUAGACCCAUUAUCUGGGUUGAGGACAGUGCCUGGUGGGUAGUUUGACUGGGGCGGUCUCCUCCCAAAGAGUAACGGAGGAGCACGAAGGUGGGCUAAUCACGGUUGGACAUCGUGAGGUUAGUGCAAUGGCAUAAGCCCGCUUAACUGCGAGAAUGACGGUUCGAGCAGGUGCGAAAGCAGGUCAUAGUGAUCCGGUGGUUCUGUAUGGAAGGGCCAUCGCUCAACGGAUAAAAGGUACUCCGGGGAUAACAGGCUGAUACCGCCCAAGAGUUCAUAUCGACGGCGGUGUUUGGCACCUCGAUGUCGGCUCAUCACAUCCUGGGGCUGAAGUCGGUCCCAAGGGUAUGGCUGUUCGCCAUUUAAAGUGGUACGCGAGCUGGGUUUAGAACGUCGUGAGACAGUUCGGUCCCUAUCUGCCGUGGGCGUUGGAAGAUUGAAGGGGGCUGCUCCUAGUACGAGAGGACCGGAGUGGACGAACCUCUGGUGUUCGGGUUGUGUCGCCAGACGCAUUGCCCGGUAGCUAAGUUCGGAAUUGAUAAGCGCUGAAAGCAUCUAAGCGCGAAGCGAGCCCUGAGAUGAGUCUUCCCUGACAGUUUAACUGUCCUAAAGGGUUGUUCGAGACUAGAACGUUGAUAGGCAGGGUGUGUAAGCGUUGUGAGGCGUUGAGCUAACCUGUACUAAUUGCCCGUGAGGCUUAACCAUACAACAC
rnacentral:rRNA from 1 species